rnacentral:rRNA from 1 species
CACGGGGGGAGCAAGCGUUGUUCGGAAUCACUGGGCGUAAAGGGCGUGUAGGCGGUCAGGUAAGUGGGAUGUGAAAUCCCUCGGCUCACCCGAGGACCUGCAUCCCAAACUGCUUGGCUUGAGUAUGGGAGAGGGAAGUGGAAUUUCAGGUGUAGCGGUGAAAUGCGUAGAUAUCUGAAGGAACAUCAGUGGCGAAAGCGACUUCCUGGACCAAUACUGACGCUCAUGUGCGAAAGCGUGGGGAGCAAACAGG